AUAGAUCUCCCCAAACGACCCGCUACCGAUCUUCCGACCAAGCCGAAACUUAUUACCAACGCGCGGCUCCAUCAAUACAACCCAGAAAAACUCAAAAAUCGAAACCCACUAGCUACAAUACAAACCCUAACGAACACCUCCCUAAAAAAUUUCCAAAAAUACGAAAAAACAAAGGACACUGUACACCGAAGCAACCGCACCGACAAAUCGGAAAAUGUCGCACGGAAACGAGGAAACCAAAGCAGGUAAAAAAAAGGAGAGAAGAGGGAAUUGAGAUCUAGUAUUUCGUGGCUUUCUGAAGAUUAGAGAAUCAAGAAAAAGAAAAAAAUUCCUAAUGUAGGGUUAGGUUAAUUACAGAUAA
rnacentral:misc_RNA from 1 species